GCAGCCGUAGCUCAAUGGUAGAGCACCCCCCUCACACGGGGUAGGUUCCAGGUUCAAGUCCUGGCGGCUGCA
rfam:Candidatus Roizmanbacteria bacterium RIFCSPLOWO2_02_FTLL_43_10 rifcsplowo2_02_scaffold_1624, whole genome shotgun sequence.